GUGUGUCAGGCUGUGGGGAGCGACGUCCCGAGCCACGUGGGUGCUGCGUGGCUCGUAGUUCUUGUCAAGCACCGGUGACCCGCGGGGUGGGCAGCGGCUGGGCUUGCAGGUUUCCGUUCCUUCCCUUAAGACGCCAUUUGGGGGGCAGUGGGCGAGGUCCCCGGCCUCGGCCGCAGCUUUCCCUUAAGGCUGUCAUUCGGGGGGCGGAGGCUCAGGUCCGUAGCCAGCUCCGCUGCCCCCUUGAGGCAUCAUUUGGGGGAGCGGUGGGCAGGGGCGGUUUGUCUCUGCCCGCGGUCCUCCCUUAAGACGUCACUGGGGUCCGCAGCGGGGAGGGCCGGAGGGCCCCCGCAGUCCUCCCUGAUGGUGUCAUUUGCAGGGGGCAGCGGCCAGGUCCGUAGGCCCCCGCUGUCCUCCCUUAAGUUACCGUUCGGGUUGGCAGCGGGUCUGGUCUGAACCCCUGUAGUUCUCACUUAAGGCCUUUCGGGGGGGGCCGCGGGCCAGGUCCCUAGGGCUUGGCCCGCGGCCCCUCCUUAAGGCGUCACUUGGGGCUGCAGUGGGCAAAGGCCUGGAGGUCGCCGCUGUCUGCUCUCGGGGUCAUCUUGCCGAGCUGCGGUGUGGUGCUGCCCUGCUUGCAAACGGGUCAAGCACUGACAGCCUUUUCACACCCCCAAGCCCGAGCUACGGUGUGGUGCUGCCUAGCUCUGUGGGCGGUCAAGCACUGGUGGUCACUUGAGGUUCUUGUGCCCUCUCAAGGCCAUCCCAUGGGGAAGCACGAGCACAUGGGGUGCCGCCAAAGACAACCAGCAGAGAAGACAACACAAAAGCAGGUGUGAGCUGGCCUGCUAUUUAAUGGACAAAUAAAAUUGAUCUGCCAGGCACCUUCUUGGUGCCUGGUGCCUUUCACCUCCAAGUUCCUGCUCCCCCUCUGCGCUGUUUCUCUUCUCUCCUGUCCUGUUCUUUCACAUCCAAGUUUCCCCGCCCGCUGCCCCCUUUCAUUUCUGCAGUGGUUCCCUUGCAACCACUGCGUGCUGAGGGCCUCCGGGCUGGCCACCCAGGAUGCUGAAUCCCUUGCUGAAAGGGAUUGGUGGCAGAUGUCGCUUGACUUGGCUCUCCGGGAGUCGAGUGUUGGAGACUGGCCUGGCCACCUGAGGCUGCAGCCCUGAAUCCUGCAAAGCAGGUCCCCUUUGGGGGUCUGCACGUCAUCCCCAGAAGGACAAGCAGACAAGAUGGCAGAUAGGUCGGAGCGAGCUGACCGGGAAGGCGGAAAACGAGGCCAGCCUAACAGGAGGCACAGGCCUCGGGAGAACCAGAAGGAGAAGCAGCGGGGAAGAGGCGAGGUAGGAGAAAAGCCAGGCAUAGAAACAGGGUGAGAAGGAAAGGGACUCUGGACAGAGUGACCUCCCUGCCUUUAGGUCUCAGUCAUGUCUUAGCCAAAUUUUGGCUGCGUGAGCCUUUGGGCGAGCUCUCUGUAACUCAGAGAUGGAUCUCUGCCCUUGAAGCUGUUACACUUCUGUAGCAGUCAGGUGGAAGGUGGACAACCCUGUAAGCAAGGUGUGUGUCACCGCUACCUCGUUUGUAAAUCCAUGGAUCUGGCUGGUGGUCUUGUGCGGAGCAGCCGCCCUGUAAUCGGGGUGCAGGCCAGCUGCCAAACAUGACUGCCAAUGCUGCAGCCUCCUAUAAGCAGGGUGAGUGCUGCCUCCUAACAUGCGAGGACAGGCGAUAUGAACGUGUGUAGCGCUGGACAUCCCGUAAUUGGGAGUCCAAGUCCAUUGCUAUUGCUAGCCAGUUGGGAGAGGUGCCCCUGUAAGCAGGGUGGGCGUAGCCACCUACCGCUGGCUGGAGAGAGACGGAGCAGCCUGCCGCAUUGUGCAGCAGGACAGCCUUGCAGACAGGAGCCGGGUCUCGUUGGUGACAGCAAACUUUUUAGACCCCGGAGCCUGAUGACCUUCCCGUGGCUGGGUUGAAGCCUGUGGCCUCCUCCACCUUUCCCUGUGUCCAGGCAUCUGUCCCUUGUCCUGCAUCAGUGCCUGGUACUCCAUGUCCGGACCCCUGGACUGCCCUGUAACGAGGGUGUGAGUCCCGCGUCUCUUGGUGGAGGACUAGGUCAUGCAAAGCAGUGGACCACCAUGUAAGCAGGGUCUGGGCAUCCAUGUGCCUUUGGUGAGAGAUCUUUCCUUUGGCUAGCCUGAGGGCCCGCCCUGUAAGCAGGGCUCUGGGCAUGUCCCUUUUGAACCUUGUGGGCAGUCUGGCUGGCCAGACGGGCCGGGCCCUGUAAGGAGGGUGCGAGUCCCGUGUCUCUUGGUGGAGGGCUAAGUUCUGCAGAGCCGUGGACCACCCUGUAAGCAGGGUCCAGGUCUCCAUGUGCCUUUUGGGGACAGCUCUGUCCUUCGGCAGGCUGAGGGCCCUCCCUGUAAGGAAGGCCUCGCCUAUGGGCGAUCUGGCUGGCCAGGCGGGCCGUACCCUGUAAGGAGGGUGCCGGUCUUAGCCGUCUUGCCUCCUGGGAGCGGAGGAGGAUUUUGCAGGGUAAGGCUCGAGGACAAGCAGUUUGCAGCACGGAGCUGCUUUCCGGCCUGGGAACACUCUUCCUUGUCAGAGUGUGGCGAGCGAGAGAGAGGAGCGCCUGGGAAUGAAAACGUUUGUUAUUUUCUUUUUGUUGUUAAAAUCGCUGCAGCGUACUUUAUUUUCUUCCCAGUGCUGGAAAGGGGCGAGAUGUGUCCACAUAGCCUUAUUCUUCCACCUCUGUACCUAGGGGGUUAAGCACCGGCAUAGAUUUCUGUGACUUCUGGCUUCGGGGAGCAUUAGGCCACCCCCCCCCAGUGACCUCCCUGUCUCUCAGGGUACGGGUCUUGGGCCCCUCUUGGGUGGCCAGCACGGUCCUUUGCCCACUUGGUAGCUCACACGAAGACUUCCUGCCAUCCGUCCUGGGGGCAGGCUCUGUAUCCCGUACCCGAGUCCCUGGAGACAAGUGCCCUGGCACUUGGCCAGCCGUUCUCUUGCGCCCCUGGCCCCGGCCUGCAGCCUGUAAGCAGGGUCCAGGUCCCCUUGAUUUUCUGGGUCUUGUUCCAGUGGGUGAGGUUGGCCAGAGACGAUACCCACGGGCUACAGGGAAGGUUGCAGUGCGCUGGCACCCCGAGGCAUCGUGACCUCCCUGUAACUCAGAUCCAGGUCUCUGCUCCUCUGUUCUGCUGCUCCUGGCACUGUUGAGAGGGCCUCUCCCCGCGCCCUGUAAACAGGGCUGCGCCCCCCACCCGCUCUGACCCUGGGGGAGGAGGAGGCUUUGUUUAGUCCUUUGGGCUCUGUGGCUUCAGUGACACGAGGCUGAAGUUGUGGCCCUUACGUCCUCCAGGAAUGGGGCAAUUUUGACCCCUGGUCAAGACCGCCUGAGGUACCUGUCAGCUGGCAUUCAGGUCUUUGCAGGUUUUCUCUGGGCUUCAUGCCCCAGCAGCCAGCUGUGUGCCGGGAGCGCCGCCCUGUAAGCAGGGUUUCUGGUGUUGGCGGUCACCGCUCAUGGUGCCGCCCUAGCAGUUCUGUCCAGAGUCCUGGCCUUCGCACGCAGUUUCUGGCUGGCCCGGAUGUCUGCCUCCCCCAUCUCCGCAGACAGAGGACAGCGGCCGCAGGUCCAGGCCCAAGCAGAGAAAAUGGCAGACCAGCAGCAAUCCACCUACAAGGAGGGAAGAAAACCAUGCCAGCCCAGCAAAGGUGUCGGAAGGAGAAGCCGCAGGCAAGCCGUGACGGGCAAAAAGCCAGCAAAACGGGGUGCGAAGGGAAGGGACUCUGGACAGAAUGAUCUCCCUGUUUUCAGGUCUCAGUCAUGUAUUAGCCACUUUUUGCAUGUGUGAGCCUUUGGGCGAGCUCUCUGUAACUCAGAAAUGGGUCUCAGCCCUUGAAGCCGUUGCACUUCUGCAGCAGUCGGGUGGAAGGUGGACAACCCUGUAAGCAAGGCGUGUGUCGCCGCCGCCUCUUCUCAAGGCCGUGGAUCUGGUUGGUGGUCUUGCGCGUCGCAGCCGCCCUGUAAUCGGGGUCCGGGCCGGCUGGCUGCCAAUGGUGCAGCCUCCUGUAAGCGGGGUGCGUGCUGCCUCCUAACACGUGAGAACAACAGGCAAUUUGACCAUGUGUAGCGCUGGACUUCCUGUAAUUGGGAGUCCAAGUCCCCUGCCAUAGCCAGCCAGCCGGAGAGGUGCCCCUGUAAGCAGGGUGGGCAUAGCCGCCUUCCGCUGGGCUGAGAGACACGGCGCAGUCUGCCGCGUUGUGCAGCAGGAGGGCCUUGCAGACAGGAGCCGGGUCUCGUGGAGUGACAGCAAACUCUUCGCAUCCCAGAGCCUGAUGACCUUCCCGUGGCUGGGUUGAAAUCUGUGGUCUCCUCACCGUUCUCUGAGUCCAGGCAUCUGUCCUUCAUCCUGCAUCUGUGCCUGGUACUCCACAUCCAGACCCCUGGGCCACCCUGUAACGAGGGGGCGAGUCCCAGGCAUCCUGUAGGACGGCCAGGGUCUGCAGAGCUGUGGACCACCCUGUAAGCAAGGUCCAGGUCUCAGUGUGCUUUUGGGGACAGCUCUGUCCUUUGGCUGGCUGUUGGCCCGCCCUGUAAGCAGGGCUCUGGGCAUGUCCCUUUUGAACCUUGUGGGCAGUCUGGCUGGCCAGACGGGCCGGGCCCUGUAAGGAGGGUGCGAGUCCCGUGUCUCUUGGUGGAGGCCUAGGUUCUGCAGAGCUGUGGACCACCCUGUAAGCAGGGUCCAGGUCUCCACGUGCCUUUUGGGGACAGCUCUGUCCUUCGGCAGGCUGAGGGCCCUCCCUGUAAGGAAGGCCUCGCCUAUGGGCGAUCUGGCUGGCCAGGCGGGCCGUACCCUGUAAGGAGGGUGCCGGUCUUAGCCGUCUUGCCUCCUGGGAGCGGAGGAGGAUUUUGCAGGGUAAGGCUCGAGGACAAGCAGUUUGCAGCACGGAGCUGCUUUCCGGCCUGGGAACACUCUUCCUUGUCAGAGUGUGGCGAGCGAGAGAGAGGAGCGCCUGGGAAUGAAAGCGUUUGUUAUUUUCUUUUUGUUGUUAAAAUCGCUGCAGCGUACUUUAUUUUCUUCCCAGUGCUGGAAAGGGGCGAGAUGUGUCCACAUAGCCUUAUUCUUCCACCUCUGUACCUAGGGGGUUAAGCACCGGCAUAGAUUUCUGUGACUUCUGGCUUCGGGGAGCAUUAGGCCACCCCCCCCCAGUGACCUCCCUGUCUCUCAGGGUACGGGUCUUGGGCCCCUCUUGGGUGGCCAGCACGGUCCUUUGCCCACUUGGUAGCUCACACGAAGACUUCCUGCCAUCCGUCCUGGGGGCAGGCUCUGUAUCCCAUACCCGAGUCCCUGGAGACAAGUGCCCUGGCACUUGGCCAGCCGUCCUCCUGCGCCCCUGGCCCCGGCCUGCAGCCUGUAAGCAGGGUCCAGGUCCCCUUGAUUUUCUGGGUCUUGUUCCAGUGGGUGAGGUUGGCCAGAGACGAUACCCACGGGCUACAGGGAAGGUUGCAGUGCACUGGCACCCCGAGGCAUCGUGACCUCCCUGUAACUCGGGUCCAGGUCUCUGCUUCUCUGUUCUGCUGCUCCUGGCACUGUUGAGAGGGCCUCUCCCCGCGCCCUGUAAACAGGGCUGCGCCCCCCACCCGCUCUGACCCUGGGGGAGGAGGCUUUGUUUAGUCCUUUGGGCUCUGUGGCUUUAGUGACACGAGGCUGAAGUUGUGGCCCUUAUGUCCUCCAGGAAUGGGGCAAUUUUGACCCCUGGUCAAGACCGCCUGAGGUACCUGUCAGCUGGCAUUUAGGUUUUUUCAGGUUUUCUCUGGGCUUCAUGCCCCAGCAGCCAGCUGUGUGCCGGGAGCGCCGCCCUGUAAGCAGGGUUUCUGGUGUUGGCGGUCACCGUUCCUGGUGCCGCCCUAGCAGUUCUGUCCAGAGCCCUGGCCUUCGCACGCAGCUUCUGGCUGGCCCGGAUGUCUGCCUCCCCCAUCUCCGCGGACAGAGGACAGCGGCCGCAGGUCCAGGCCCAAGCAGAGAAAGUGGCAGACCAGCAGGAAUCCACCUACAAGGAGGGAAGAAAACCAUGCCAGCCCAGCAAAGGUGUCGGAAGGACAAGCUGCAGGCAAGCCGUGACGGGCAAAAAGCCAGCAAAACUGGGUGCGAAGGGAAGGGACUCUGGACAGAAUGAUCUCCCUGUUUUCAGGUCUCAGUCAUGUAUUAGCCACUUUUUGCAUGUGUGAGCCUUUGGGCGAGCUCUCUGUAACUCAGAAAUGGGUCUCAGCCCUUGAAGCCGUUGCACUUCUGCAGCAGUCGGGUGGAAGGUGGACAACCCUGUAAGCAAGGCGUGUGUCACCGCCGCCUCUUCUAAAGGCCGUGGAUCUGGUUGGUGGUCUUGCGCAUCGCAGCCGCCCUGUAAUCAGGGUCCAGGCCAGCUGGCUGCCAAUGGUGCAGCCUCCUGUACGUGGGGUGCGUGCUGCCUCCUAACACGUGAGAACAACAGGCAAUUUGACUAUGUGUAGCGCUGGACAUCCCGUAAUUGGGAGUCCAAGUCCCCUGCCAUAGCCAGCCAGCCGGAGAGGUGCCCCUGUAAGCAGGGUGGGCAUAGCCGCCUUCCGCUGGGCUGAGAGACACGGCGCAGUCUGCCGCGUUGUGCAGCAGGAGGGCCUUGCAGACAGGAGCCGGGUCUCGUGGAGUGACAGCAAACUCUUCGCAUCCCAGAGCCUGAUGACCUUCCCGUGGCUGGGUUGAAAUCUGUGGUCUCCUCACCGUUCUCUGAGUCCAGGCAUCUGUCCUUCAUCCUGCAUCUGUGCCUGGUACUCCACAUCCAGACCCCUGGGCCACCCUGUAACGAGGGGGCGAGUCCCAGGCAUCCUGUAGGAUGGCUAGGGUCUGCAGAGCUGUGGACCACCCUGUAAGGAGGGUCCAGGUCUCAGUGUGCUUUUGGGGACAGCUCUGUCCUUUUGCUGGCUGUUGGCCCGCCCUGUAAGCAGGGCUCUGGGCAUGUCCCUUUUGAACCUUGUGGGCAGUCUGGCUGGUCAGACGGGCCGGGCCCUGUAACGAGGGUGCAAGUCCCGUGUCUCUUGGUGGAGGGCUAGAUUCUGCAGAGCUGUGGACCACCCUGUAAGCAGGGUCCAGGUCUCCAUGUGCCUUUUGGGGACAGCUCUGUCCUUCGGCUGGCUGAGGGCCCUCCCUGUAAGGAAGGCCUCGCUUAUGGGCGAUCUGGCUGGCCAGGCGGGCCGUACCCUGUAAGGAGGGUGCCGGUCUUAGCCGUCUUGCCUCCUGGGAGUGGAGGAGGAUUUUGCAGGGUAAGGCUCGAGGACAAGCAGUUUGCAGCACGGAGCUGCUUUCCGGCCUGGGAACACUCUUCCUUGUCAGAGUGUGGCGAGCGAGAGAGAGGAGCGCCUGGGAAUGAAAGCGUUUGUUAUUUUCUUUUUGUUGUUAAAAUCGCUGCAGCGUACUUUAUUUUCUUCCCAGUGCUGGAAAGGGGCGAGAUGUGUCCACAUAGCCUUAUUCUUCCACCUCUGUACCUAGGGGGUUAAGCACCGGCAUAGAUUUCUGUGACUUCUGGCUUCGGGGAGCAUUAGGCCACCCCCCCAGUGACCUCCCUGUCUCUCCGGGUACGGGUCUUGGGCCCUUCUUGGGUGGCCAGCACGGUCCUUUGCCCACUUGGUAGCUCACACGAAGACUUCCUGCCAUCCGUCCUGGGGGCAGGCUCUGUAUCCCAUACCCGAGGCCCUGGAGACAAGUGCCCUGGCACUUGGCCAGCCGUUCUCCUGCGCCCCUGGCCCCGGCCUGCAGCCUGUAAGCAGGGUCCAGGUCCCCUUGAUUUUCUGGGUUUUGUUCCAGUGGGUGAGGUUGGCCAGAGAUGAUACCCACGGGCUACAGGGAAGGUUGCAGUGCGCUGGCACCCCGAGGCAUCGUGACCUCCCUGUAACUCGGGUCCAGGUCUCUGCUCCUCUGUUCUGCUGCUCCUGGCACUGUUGAGAGGGCCUCUCCCCGCACCCUGUCAACAGGGCUGCACCCCCCACCCGCUCUGACCCUGGGGGAGGAGGAGGCUUUGUUUAGUCCUUUGGGCUCUGUGGCUUUAGUGACACGAGGCUGAAGUUGUGGCCCUUAUGUCCUCCAGGAAUGGGGCAAUUUUGACCCCUGGUCAAGACUGCCUGAGGUACCUGUCAGCUGGCAUUUAGGUCUUUUCAGGUUUUCUCUGGGCUUCAUGCCCCAGCAGCCAGCUGUGUGCCGGGAGCACCGCCCUGUAAGCAGGGUUUCUGGUGUUGGCGGUCACCGUUCCUGGUGCCGCCCUAGCAGUUCUGUCCAGAGCCCUGGCCUUCGCACGCAGCUUCUGGCUGGCCCGGAUGUCUGCCUCCCCCAUCUCCGCGGACAGAGGACAGCGGCCGCAGGUCCAGGUCCCCGAAGGGCAGCUGGAGAAGAAGGAACGGAACCAGCAGAAGCAAGCUCGGGAACAAGAAGUGUGGGUCGGGGUGGGCAGGAGGAAGGGGAAUGUUUAAUGUCUGCUCAGAGAAGGAGAGAUGGAGGCUGUUGAGUGCAUCUACACUUUCACACCCCCAGGAGGAGCAAGCAGCCACACGCUUCAAGUUGCACCGUGCAUUCAGUCUUGGGUUGGCCCCGAUUGUGUGCAGGGAGGUUGAGGCUUUGUGCUAGUCGGGCAUAUCGAUAUGCAGCAGUCAAGGGUUUUGCAGGUUGUGUGCAAGGAGGCUGAGGCGUUGUGCUAGUUGUAUGUAUUGAUAUGCAGCUGUCACGGGUUUUGCAGGCGGUUUGGCUUUGCCAGUGAAGCGGUGGAUCAGAAUAGGUGUGACUGAAGGCAGCGUGUAGGGCGUUCUUGGUUGGGUUGUUGAGCGGUUCUCGGUGUUAGUGUAGGAACACAGGUUUGUGCUCGGUUCUGUUUGUGGCUUGGCUGUAGCUUGCUUAGGCUGUAGCUUGCAGGGCCAAUUUGAGGCUGUUUAUGGUGCAAUUUGUUUGCGUCUGUAAAUUAAGGCUCUGUGGGUGUUUGAAAGUGUUAAUCUCCAGCUCCACGGGGACGAAGAUUUUGUCCUCUGUCCAAAUGAUCCUCAAGGUAGUUGGCAUGGUCCAUGUCAAACCAGUAGGAAGCAGGUGGGCCUAAGAUGUGCACAGUCAACAAUAAAUGGUCUAAAAACUGUCUACCUUGUGGCUGGUGCUCUUCUACACGGAGAAGAUUUGGUCCUUUUCCUUUCCUACUGAGAUCUGGCUGAAGGAAUAAACUUUUUCAUUCUGUCUGCCGA